GUACAUGCCUACAUCAUAGCAUUAAUUCAAUUGAUCCCAUUAGAACUCUGCAAUUAAUAAUGCUCGGGCUAGAGUAGCACUGGGAUGGGUGAUUGCCCAGGAAGUCCUAGUGUUUUAUAUG
rfam:Picea glauca, whole genome shotgun sequence.